rnacentral:rRNA from 1 species
AUAGCGUAUAUUAAAGUUGUUGCAGUUAAAAAGCUCGUAGUUGAACUUCAGACCUGGCCGGACGGUCUGCCUAACGGUAUGUACUGUCUGGCUGGGCCUUACCUCUUGGUGAGCCGGCAUGCCCUUCACUGGGUGUGUCGGGGAACCAGGACUUUUACCUUGAGAAAAUUAGAGUGUUCAAAGCAGGCUUAUGCUCGAAUACAUUAGCAUGGAAUAAUAAAAUAGGACGUGCGGUUCUAUUUUGUUGGUUUCUAGAGUCGCCGUAAUGAUUAAUAGGGAUAGUUGGGGGCAUUAGUAUUCAAUUGUCAGAGGUGAAAUUCUUGGAUUUAUUGAAGACUAACUACUG